AAAAUUGAAUCAUAAAAAAAGAAUAAUAUUUCAUUUUCAAACAAAAGAACUUAAAAAGAAAUUAAUAUUUAGUUAGUUGUGAAGCGUGAGUUAAUAAUGUAGCAUUUGUUGAAAGCGAAUAGUGCGUGGAAAAAAAAUAGAAUGAAGCGUGAGCAUACAAUGCACAAUUGAGUAAGAAUAAUGAAGCGAAGUAAAAAUAGAAAGUAUGAGUAAAUUACCCAACUUCCACGUCAGUACCAAUAGCGAAUUCCCAAAGUGUUCCCAUAAUGGGAGCAUCUGCCCUAUGUGCCAGAAAAUAAGAUAAGAUUAUUUACAUUUUUUUCUAAACACGAACGUUUAGACGAAUCAAAUCACAGAUAAUUUUGCACAAUUAAGAAUGAACCACACAUUCUCAAUUUUUUGUUACACAAAAUAUAUACAUAAUGUUAUUCAGCGCCUUCGCAUAUUAAUAAAUCGGAACUAAAUUAACUUUUAAAAUACGAUUCGUGUAGUAUCAGUAUCGUUAAGCAACAACCAAUAUCCAUUUAAAGAUUCCGCCAUACACCUUCAACCAUAAAAUAGACAGCGACAGAUCAUUAUAUUAAGAAGAAAGUCAUUGGAAAAAGAAAGCAGUGCCGGUCGGCUGUCGCAAAUUGUUUGUAUACACAAGUUCUUACUGUAUCCCGGGAGCUUCGUCCAUGAUUACAACCUCCCAAAGAUGUGACAUCACUGCGGCAUCGGCCCUGAUCAUUGUUUCGAAUAUUAAGAAUUACUUGAUUAAGCACCACCAUACUUACCAGGAGUGUUCUGCGUUAAAACCGAUCUGAAAAUAAGCAAAAAAGUACGUCAAUAUCCGCUGCGAUGAGUAAUACUGAAGUAUUUUAUUUUGUAAUUUAUAGUGAAAAUAAAUAGUAGUCUUUAUCUUACCCUGCCGUUGUUUCCGAUGCAAAGCGUAAAGGAUUUAUCAAACCAGCGAUCGUAACCUUUACCGUGGAGCAGAAUGCGUCCGUAGUUGUCAAGUUUUUCCGGGUGUGCC